CCCAGACAAAAAAAGCAAAUGCAUGAGAUCCUAAGGAUCUGAAUGCCCAGAAUGAGAACUUUCAUCUACACAGUUUGGUAAGGCAAGUAAGAAAGUAGAAUGACCAGAAACUUCUGGAAAACAGUGACAAAGGUG
rnacentral:lncRNA from 12 species